rnacentral:rRNA from 1 species
CCUACGGGUGGCAGCAGUCGGGAAUAUUGCACAAUGGGGGAAACUCUGACGCAGUAACGCCGCGUGCAGGAAGACGGUUUUCGGAUUGUAAACUUCUGUUCUUAGUGAAGAAUAAUGACAGUAGCUGAGGAACAAGCCACGGCUAACUACGUGCCAGCAGCCGCGGUAAUACGUAGGUAGCAAGCGUUGUCCGGAAUUACUGGGUGUAAAGGGGGCGCAGGCGGGAAGCCAAGUCAGCUGUGAAAUCCACGGGCUUAACUUGUAGACUGCAGCUGAAACUGGUUUCCUUGAGUGAAGUAGAGGAUGGCGGAAUUCCGAGUGUAGCGGUGAAAUGCGUAGAUAUUAGGAGGAACACCAGUGGCGAAGGCGGCCAUCUGGACAUUAACUGACGCUGAGGCACGAAAGUGUGGGGAGCAAACAGGAUUAGAUACCCCUGUAGUC